GAUGAAGAACGUAGCGAAAUGCGAUAAGUAAUGCGAAUUGCAGAAUUCCAGUGAGUCAUCGAAUCUUUGAACGCACAUUGCGCCCUUUGGUAUUCCGAAGGGCAUGCCUGUUCGAGCGUCAUUAUCACCCCUCAAGCCCUCGGCUUGGUGUUGGACGGUUUGGUGGAGGCCCCCUCGGGGGCUCCUGCCCCUCCCAAAGACAAUGACGGCGGCCUCGUUGGACCCCCGGUACACUGAGUUCUUCACGGGACACGUAUCGGACACAUGGGUUUACGGGACACGGUCUGCCUCCCCUCAGGGAGAAUCUUUCUAAGGUUGACCUCGGAUCAGGUAGGGAUCCCCGCUGAACUUAAGCAUAUCAAUAAGCGGAGGA
rnacentral:misc_RNA from 1 species